AACCAUAGAAACCUGCGGAGUACCUGCGGAGGGAUCAUUACAGAGUUGCAAAACUCCCUAAACCAUUGUGAACCUACCACUAAACAGUUGCUUCGGCGGGUGGCAGCGAGGAGGUCCCCCCCCGCGGGGGGCUCCCGAGCGCGCCCUAGACAGCCCGCCGGAGGUACCCAAACUCUUGUUUAACUAAAGGCCUCUCUGAGUACUGUACUUAAAUAAGUCAAAACUUUUAACAAUGGAUCU
rnacentral:misc_RNA from 1 species